UCACUUACACGGUUUGCCCUUUGAGGAGAAGCCCUAGCAGCCGCCUCAUUUUCCUUUCUCUCUCAUCGUUUCCUUGCCAGAAAUGGCAAUGAUGUAGAGUACUAUACUUUUCUACGGUCUGUGCGUGGUUGAAAAGGGCAACACAUUAAUUUUUUUGCCCUCUCUCAUCGUUUCUCCACCGUGGUCAACCGUUGAAAAGUUGUGAGUUUUGGAGGAGAUAAGAAAGUUCUCAAGCUCCAUUCUCAGCAAGGCUGACACUACAAAAGGUAACGACGUGAUAUCGAUGGAGAACAAGUGAGCGAUAUCUUAGCUAAACGACCGAGGUAGACAAGGAGGAGAGCUUGGCCCAGGUCCUCAGUAGCUGUCAGCUGUUAGAUAGCACUCCAUUGUUCGGAGGUGCUUAUGGCUAUCCUUUUGAUGUACAUUCAUAUAUGCAUAUUUUGUGCAUGACGGAGUCUUGUUCCGUCUAUGUAUUCAUUAUGUUAGUAGAGGCUCGUAGAUACGCGGUGUGGGUUAGAUGGUCUCACAAGAUGUUUUCAUAUGUAUGUAUAUUGUUUGAUGGCCGAGAGGCAAAUGUAUAUAAAGUACUUAUGUUUUGAUAAAAUAUGAUUUUCCUACAAUUGGUAUGUAAAAUUGAUAAAAGAGUAUUAAAUGAGCAAGAUAAGUAAUAGUAGAGUGAGCGGUGCUCGGUAACUAGCUCCGGGUACCCGUCGCGGCCCCUAGCUGGGUCAUGACAGAAGUGGUAUCAGAGCAGUUCGCCCUAGAAAGUGUCUACGAGCCGUGUCUAGUAGAGUCUUGUUUAUGGUGAGUUACGCGUCACGCUAAUAAACAAGAGGCUACAGGGCAUUUAGGAAAAUGACCAUCCUUCUUCUCAUGAGAUCGUGCGAUAGAGCCCUGCCUAGGAUUAUAUUAUUCCUAAAAGUGCGUUAUGGUUUCGGAAAAAUGCCGCCGAAAGGAAAAGCUACAGCUGCCCAGAAAGGCAAAGCUACGACGAAGAAGCGGGCAGAAAGGGAGCCUCCGGCCGAUGUAGAGGAAAGUGAAUCGCAAAGUGAGGCCGCGCCCAAUGUAGAAGAGCAGGGGGAGCCUCAGCUCCGAUUCCUCCACCGGGUGCUUCGGGUCAACAAGUGUCUGAGGCCAUACAUUUAUUGACGCA